GGUGGUGUGGCCCAAGCGGUAGAGCACCUGCCUAGCAAGCAGGAGGUCCUGAGUUCAAAUCCCACUACCACCA